UAAAGGCUCAUCAAGGCAACGAUGAGUAGCUGGUGUUAGAGGACGAUCAGCCACACUGGGACUGAGACACGGCCCAGACUCCUACGGGAGGCAGCAGUGGGGAAUCUUGCGCAAUGCGCGAAAGCGUGACGCAGCAACGCCGCGUGGGGGAAGACGGCGUUCGGGUUGUAAUCCCCUUUCAGUUGGGACGAAGGUUCGCCGGUGAAUAGCCGGUUGGACUGACGGUACCUUCAGAAGAAGCCCCGGCUAACUACGUGCCAGCAGCCGCGGUAAUACGUAGGGGGCAAGCGUUGUCCGGAAUCAUUGGGCGUAAAGAGCGUGUAGGCGGCUCGGUAAGUCCGCUGUGAAAGUCCAGGGCUCAACCCUGGAAUGCCGGUGGAAACUGUCGAGCUAGAGUCCGGAAGAGGCGAGUGGAAUUCCUGGUGUAGCGGUGAGAUG
rnacentral:rRNA from 1 species